rnacentral:rRNA from 1 species
ACUCCUACGGGAGGCAGCAGUGGGGAAUAUUGCACAAUGGGCGCAAGCCUGAUGCAGCCAUGCCGCGUGUGUGAAGAAGGCCUUCGGGUUGUAAAGCACUUUCAGUCAGGAGGAAAGGUUAGUAGUUAAUACCUGCUAGCUGUGACGUUACUGACAGAAGAAGCACCGGCUAANNCCNGG